GUGAAUCAUCAAAUUUUUGAACGCAAAUUGCACUUUCUGGUAUUCCGGAAAGUAUGCCUGUUUGAGGGUCAGUUAAAUAAAAAUCGGUGUUGUUGCUGCCUUUCGUGGUGACGCGUCGGAAUUGAGUUGUCUUACCUUCGGUUAAGUGACUUAAAAUUUUGCAUGAUUUUCGAAGUAAUUUAAAUUUCUAACUAAGGUUGGGGAAACCGAAUACUUAA
rnacentral:misc_RNA from 1 species